AUCUGGUUGGCUCAGUCAGUAGAGCAUGUGACUCUCAAUCUCAAGGUAAUAGGUUCAAGCCCUAUACUGGGCA